UACGUAGGGGGCGAGCGUUGUCCGGAAUUACUGGGCGUAAAGAGAGCGUAGGCGGCACUACAAGUCUCAUGUGAAAUACCCGGGCUUAACUUGGGGGUUGCAUGGGAAACUGUAGAGCUUGAGUACAGGAGGGGCAAGCGGAAUUCCUAGUGUAGCGGUGAAAUGCAUAGAUAUUAGGAGGAACACCAGUGGCGAAGGCGGCUCGCUGGACUGAAACUGACGCUGAGGCUCGAAAGCGUGGGGAGCAAACAGG
rnacentral:rRNA from 1 species